rnacentral:lncRNA from 1 species
AGGCUCAGCUUCCAUCACCGCGUGGCGGAGCCCGUGUCCGGGCCAGUGCUGACUUUGAGACUUUUCUGAUGGUGACUCAUGAUAUGCAUGGAAGCAUAAGAAAUGCUCACACGAAACAUUCAGAAAACUAAACUUACCCUUACGGUAUAUGAUGCUGUGAUGGUUAACACUGAGUGUCAACUUGAUUGGAUUGAAGGAUGUGAAGUAUUUUUCCUGGGUGCGUCUGUGAGGGUGUUGCCAAAGGAGAUUAACAUUUGAGUCAGUGGACUGGGGCAGGCAGACCCACCCUCAAUGUGGGUGGGCACCGUCUAAUCAGCAGCCAACAUGGCUAGAAUAAAACAGGCAGAAGAACAUGGAAGGACUUGACUUGCUGAGUCUUCUGGCCUUCAUCUUUCUUCCAUGCUGGAUGCUUCCUGCCCUCGAACAUGAGACUCCAAGUUCUUCAGCUUUUGGACACUUGGACUUACACCAGUAGUUUGCCAGGGGCUUUUGGGCCUUUGGACACAGCCUGAAGUCUGCAAUGUCGGCUUCCCUACUUUUGAGGUUUCGGGACUCGGACUGAUCCACCACUGGCUUCCUUGCUCCUCAACUUGCAGACGACCUAUUGUGGGACUUUACCUUGUGAUCCUGUGAGUCGAUUCUCCUUAAUAAACACCCUUUCAUAUAUACGUAGAUUCUAUUAGUUCUACCCAUCUAGAAAAUCCUAAUACAGAUGCAUGCUGAUAUUUUCUCUACUAUUUUAGCUCACUUUUUUUAGUGCAGGUUACAACCCACUAAAUUUAUUUUAUCACCCAAAUGGGUCACAUUCCAAAGUUUGCAAAACACGAAGCAGGAUUCAGGUGGCAAUUCUUCCCCGUCACCCUAUCUCUGACUCCCACCGCCCCACCCCACCUAGGGUUUCAGUUAAGCCAUAAUCAUUAUGGGAUGAUCCUGCUGAGCAGAGGAGGAACCAAAAUGCCACACUUUCAUGCCUCUUUCAUGGCCCUAAAAAGAAAAUGUGGCCCAGGCUUUCCUAGGCGGCCACCUAGAAGAUGUGUUUCUUUCCCCUCCCUUUUCCUCCACGGCUCCCUGCAGCUACCAUUACCCCUGCAAUGUUUUUCUCUAAUUUAUUAUUUUAAUUAGCUGCUUGGCUGUGUUCAUAAUCAAAACUUUUCCAGCCUCCCAGGAGCUCUGCCAGGCAAUGGGAAGCACUCCGUGACUGGAGAGGCUGCCUCUGCUCCUGAAGCGGAGACCUUGCUCCUUCCCAGGCCGCCAGGAGGGCUCAGCCUACAGGGAAGCUUGGGAGCCCUUAAAGGAGGCAUGG